UCUCGACAUAUUCAGUUAAGGGCAAUUGCUGGUGUGGGAGCUGGACACUGCUCCUGGUUGCUCGUCUUCUGUCUGGUCUCUGCGGAUCCCCGUCAUCAGUGGCUCUUCUCCUUUAUCCAAUGCCACAUCUUUGCCACAACCUUCACCUAGCAUAUGUUCUUACACACAUCACACAUGUACACACAUAGCCCAACACACAUAACUACAUACACACCAACAUUUUCCAUUCCAGAUUUGCCUCCCCAUCUUGACCUUGCCCCCAUUGAGUUCCCUCAUUUGCUCUUUUCUUUCCUGUGGCCUUGGGAUCUAAGGCGAAACCUGCUUCUUUCGGCAGGCUUUGGGCUUUUCCCUAGACAUGACUGAGUGCUGCCCCUGAAGCCGGCCUGGUAAGUCCAGCGAUUUAGCUCUGGCCUGGGACUGAAGACAAGUUCCUUCAUUCUUUCCAUCUUCCCCUCACCCAUUCUACGACAGCAGAGCUUUGGAGGUUAGCCAGACGUUGGCUUGGUGAACUCCACCUGCCACAUGGGCCCCCAAGGAUGUCCUAGAAAACGCUGUCACCUCUCUCUACCUUAACAGCUCAAGAUCUCCAGACACUUCUGAUUACCAGGUCCCUUGGGAGCACAUGAUGGUUUUCUUCCCCAAAAUUCUUAAAAAGAAGAAAAAGAAAAGAAAAGAAAAGAAAAGCCUGAAUGGCAGUCAGCACUGGCAGAAGUUGGCCUCUUCAUUGUGAAGUGAGGAAGGAGACUGUAAAAGGAAAUGGGAAGAGAGCAGAUCUGCCGAUAGCCAUGCUGGAGCGCGUCCAGGAGGAAGCUUCUCGGAUGAUGGCUGAGCAAGGAACCCGUCUGCUUCCCUGGCCAGCGUCUACUUCCGCCUAGUUUUAAGUCUCCACAAUUUUACCAGCCAGCCUACCACCCCCACCACAUACACACAUUCUCUCCCAUCAGGUGGGCUCCCAACACCGAAUGCAAGCUCUGAUCUGUUCCCUUCCUGGGACUUGUCCAAGCGAUCAGAUUUUAUCAAACAUCCUGGGAUGGCCGAGGGCCAAGUUAAACAUGCUCAGAUGGGCGGAAUUACCAAAUUAUAGCAUUUUUGUGCAGAAAGUCACCUCAUAGCACACUGAGCUGAAACUUCCACAAGAAAGAUGGCGAAACCAGACCGAGAGAGGUUCAAGGUCUUCCUUGAGGUCAUGCAGUGAGUUGUGAGUUUGUUUGGUGCCUCUUCCGGGAACCAGAAGGUCUGAGGUCAGAGGCUGUUGAACUUGAGAAGGGCCAAGACCUUCUUAAAAGGGCAAACCAGAGAAGAUGCUGAGCAUGCUACCUUUCCCGGAGCCUGACAGCAGGGGUCCACUGUGGGUACCACUUUACGCUGCUGUGGAGGGUGGUCAAGGAAGGCCUAUGGAGGUCAAACACUGAACUCAGUCUGCUACAUGACCCGAGUGGAUCUUGGAUUCUCUCUGGGUUUCAUUGUCACCUGUAAGAAGAGGUGAUUUAUGUGGACACUGGCUCGCACUGACCCUCAAUCCUGACUAAGAAACAGGAAGCACUAGCAGCAGCGGCCAUCACCACCCUGGAGAUUGCCAUUUGACUGGUCUGCGUCAUCAUCAGCAUCUGUAUGCAUGUAAAAAGGUUCACAAAUGACUUGAAUCUAUAGCCAGGGCCAGUGAGUGGGCCAGUAAUGUGAUGGUUAAUCUCAAUUGUCAACUCGGUGGGAUCUAGAGUCACCUAGGUGACAAAUCUCUGGGCAUGCCUUCAUUUAGAAUUUUCUCAGUGAAGUUGAUGGAGGUAGAGAGGCCCACCCUGAAUAUGGUCAGUAUCAUUCCAUGGACUGAAGUUCAGACUGUGUGAAAAGGAACCAUGUUGAUGAGCAUCAUCGGCCUGCAUCUCUCUGCUUCCUGGCUGUGGAUGUGAUGUGAACAUCUGCCUUAAGCUCCUGCUGGCAUUCUUUCUUUGUCGUGGGGGACGGUGUUCUCUCGAGCUAUAAGCCACAAUAAGCCUUCUUCCCUUAAAGUGCUUCUCUUCAGGUGUGGUCACAACAAGGAGGAAAGCAAUCAACACAAACAGCCUUCCCUUGGAAUGUAGGCCAUGUCCUAAUCCCAGAACCUGUGACUAGUCCUCUACUUGGAAAAAAAAGAGCUUGCACAAGUGUUUAGUUAAGUAUCUUGCAAGGAAGAAUGCA